AUCCGGGGAUCCCAAGUUGAGAAGCACUACAUUAGAAUAAGAAUCGAUACCUAUGAAUUUAAAAUACCAGUUUUUAAAUUAAGAAAUAUAAUAGAAUAACAAUACUAAGCUGAGAACGGCAGAGCUGGAAGGGAUCACGGAGUCAAGGAGACAGACACUGUGGGGAAUUGAACUCCCAACCUCUAAACCACUGGACUAUCCAGUGGAGCUAUGCAGCAAAGAUAUAGCAUGCACCAUCGGCCACAUUUUAUAAAAUUCUGCACAGCAACGUUUUUUAAAGGGGCUUUAAGAAAAGAAGCCAGUGCCGCCAAGCUUGGAGAGGAGGAAAAUGUGGAGGAAAACAGUGUCUCUAACCAUUAAGCAAGCCGUGGUUCCAAUAAAGCUUGCUUCCUCCUUCAUUCCAGCAAUCUAUCAAAGCACCGACGCCUCCAUAAAAUCCUGGCACACGGCUGGGUUCAUUCACAGCCUCCUGUGCACUUCCUCCAGCGGCACUGAAUGAGAUCCGAGCUUUUGAAGGAACAUUCCUGGCCCAGGAAAAAUGUUCCCUCCCUGUGUUAUCUGCAUACCUUUCUUAACACAGAACCAGGUCUUUGACCCGUCAAGCAAAGCCAGGGCAAACGCACACAUAGUGGGAGCGAAAUUGCACUCUGCUGCACGGAGGCCUUCCUUCCAAACCAGAAAGCAGGAAUGAAUUCUUCCUUGAUCAUUCACAUGGGCUGGGGUGGGCUGGCAGGGGGGGAAGCUCCUCCAUGGACGUCCACGGAGAGGGGCCGCUUAUGUGGAGAGGUGAGCAGGUGGACUCUGGAAGGCUCUUCCCCAAGCGCUCGACUCUCGCCCACGCGGAUGUCAUCUCAGUGUCGAGUUCGAAGGUUCUGCUGGCGGACCGCGGAGACGAUGGCCAUCUUGUCUUCACCACAGGCGUCGAACCAUCUUCUGUUGGACCCAUUUAAUGACAGCAUCUAACGUGACAUCCAGAAGACCUGAUUUGCCAUACUAGACAAUGCCGCCCUUCUGAAAUUCUUCGCCAAAAAACUGGCGAGAGGAAAUCGCUGCCCUAAUGAAGCUUCUUCACAAUAGUUUUUUUUAUAAAGGCAGGAGGAACAUGGUGGUAUAUAUUCCAUAUCUUGCCUCCAAACCUUAAAUUAAACAUUAUCUCCAUCCCCAUGUUCUUCAGCACAGUCUGCCAUAACCAGAGUGAGGGGUAAUGAAACUACAGCAAUGUGAUUCAAACUGUUGGAUAGAACCAGUGUUUAGAUAACUGGCUGCGGGGCCAGAGUUUGGGAGUUCGAUUCCCCGCUGUUGGAUAGACCAGUGUUUAGAUAACUGGCUGUGGGGCCAGAGUUUGGAAGUUCGAUUCCCCGCUGGUGGGCCUCCUUGGCAGCGGGCUGGAGUGGAUGAUCUCACAGGGUCCCUUCCAGUUCUGCCGUUCUGAGAUAAGCUAAAUAGCUACUGCAAAGCAGAGACAACAAACAUUAAAAUACAAUAAAACAGAGAUCAGAAAUAUACA
rnacentral:lncRNA from 1 species